CAUCUUCGGGGUCGGGUGAAAGUCCCAACCGGCGGUAUAGUCCGCGACCCGCAUAUAUGCGGCUGAACCGGUGAUUCGUUCAUUACGGAAAUUCCGGUACCGACAGUACAGUCUGGAUGAGAGAAGAG
rnacentral:ncRNA from 1 species